rnacentral:rRNA from 1 species
UACAGAGGGGGCAAGCGUUAUUCGGAAUUAUUGGGCGUAAAGGGCGCGUAGGCGGCCUGGCAAGUGACGGGUGAAAUCCCUCGGCUUAACCGAGGAACUGCCUGUCAGACUGCUGGGCUUGAGACCGGGAGAGGUGAGUGGAAUUCCCAGUGUAGCGGUGAAAUGCGUAGAUAUUGGGAGGAACACCAGUGGCGAAGGCGGCUCACUGGACCGGUACUGACGCUGAUGCGCGAAAGCGUGGGGAGCAAACAGG